UACGUAGGGGGCAAGCGUUAUCCGGAUUUACUGGGUGUAAAGGGAGCGUAGACGGAUUAGCAAGUCUGAUGUGAAAGGCAGGGGCUCAACCCCUGGACUGCAUUGGAAACUGCCAGUCUUGAGUGCCGGAGAGGUAAGCGGAAUUCCUAGUGUAGCGGUGAAAUGCGUAGAUAUUAGGAGGAACACCAGUGGCGAAGGCGGCUUACUGGACGGCAACUGACGUUGAGGCU
rnacentral:rRNA from 1 species